CCUGGGAGCACCACAUGAGUGGCAGAGCAGCAUGGCCAGUGACACGAGGAUGGGGGAGACCCCCCCACGAUGGAGGAGAGCCCAGGACAUAGCACAGGAUGGGAUGGAGAGCAGCGGGAUGCUCUUCCCAAGCCGCAGCGCUGCUGAGCUGGGACUCACAGGCUACCCGGAGCCCGGCAAGCUGAGCUAUGGGACGGAGAAGGGGUGUCCCUGGAGGGGCCCCGAGGGAUGCCUGGGACCAUGUGGCCGGUUGGGCUGCCCCUGCCCUCCUGCCCCACCGUGCCUGCGGGAUGCCCUGUGCCAGCCCGAGGACGGAGCCGAGCUCCCCACGCUGCCGCCCCCCAGCAAUGGGCAGCCCUGCAAGGGGCACCCAGGACCGCGGUGGGCAGAGGCCGUGCUGGGCCCCCUGGCUCUCUACAGCCACCGGUACCCCCUGGCCCUGCCGGGGAUGGGGAAGCCCCGGGCGGCUGCUGGGGACACGGACGGUGUCGCUCUGCACCAUUGCCCCUUCGUCACCGAGAGCAAGCACAGCCCCUUCCUCCUGUCCUCGCUGCUGCCCCCCGCGGCCCCGGCUGAGCCCCCGCUUGGCAUCGGCACGGGGGGAUCCAGGGUGAUGAGCGACGAGCGCUUCCCUGGCCUGGAAUGGUGCCUGGGCUCCUACCCCCCCGCCUGGGGACAGCCCCUCUACCUGGGGGUCCCUCCCAGGGACAAAGAGGCUCCGGAGCCCUUCGGUGGCUGCUCCAGCUCAGGGAAUAAGGAGCUGUACCUGAAGAAAGAACCCAGCUUCCACCCCCCGGCCAAGGACCAGGCACCGCUGCAGCUGCUGGGCAAGGGGCAGGCAGGGCAGGAUGGAGGCAGGGAUGGGGACACAGCAGUACCCGGUGCCCCGUGGAGGGGCGGCCGCGCUCCCCAUGCCCACACGCCUCCCCCCAGCACCAGCCACCCCCUUUUCCUCCUGCACCCCAGUGCGGUGGGGAACAGGGGUGGUCCCUGGGUGGGUACACGGCCCCACGCCACCCAUUUCCCCAUGGAUCCAGGGCCAGGCCGGCCCUCUGAGCCCAAAGAUCUGGUGUACCAAAGCCUCCAUCCUGGACCAGUGGAGUUCAACCCAUCACCUCCACUCAUGGAUGGGCAUCACGCACCGGUCCACGCCAAGCCAGAGCAUGCCCCAGCUUGUCUGUGCACCACACCAGGAUGUGAUGGGUGCCCGGGGAUGGGCUGUGAGGUGCUCGGUCCCUUCGAGCCCCCCCUGGCCAUGCCUCCCCCCAGCAACCACACCAAGCUGAAGAAGACAUGGCUGACGCGGCACUCGGAGCAGUCGCUGCCACACUCACAGUCACCCCAUGGGGAUGGUGGCUCCGAGACUCCCGCAGAGGGCAAGCGCUCAGCCAAGCGCCCGCACAGCACCACGGAUGGAGCGCACGGUGCUGGUGAUGGUGCCGGGGCAGCCAAAAGGGGCACUAAGGCCAUGGAGGCUGUGGCAUGUCGGGGUGAUGGCACAGAGAGCGGAGGGGACCUGGAGGAGAGGAGGAUGGAGCUGGGAGAGGGAGGUAAGGCAGAGGGGUGUGCAGUGGGAGAGCGUGGGGGCAGCACCCCAUCCAUGGGGGGGAGCUUUGCAUCCUGGUUCCCAGUACCCACAGCACAGAGAGGGCUGGGAAACCUGCCGUGCCCAGGGCUUUCCUGAUAGGGCUGGGAAUUCCUGGGACUGGGAUAAAGAAACGCCCCUUUGGGGCAGCGCAGCA
rnacentral:lncRNA from 14 species